rnacentral:tRNA from 1 species
GGAGGAGUGGCCGAGUGGCUGAAGGCACCGGUCUUGAAAACCGGCGACGGGAAACCGUUCCAGAGUUCGAAUCUCUGCUCCUCCGUCA